rnacentral:rRNA from 1 species
AGCGUUCUGUAAGCCUGUGAAGGUGGCCUGUGAGGGUUGCUGGAGGUAUCAGAAGUGCGAAUGCUGACAUAAGUAACGAUAAAGCGGGUGAAAAGCCCGCUCGCCGGAAGACCAAGGGUUCCUGUCCAACGUUAAUCGGGGCAGGGUGAGUCGACCCCUAAGGCGAGGCCGAAAGGCGUAGUCGAUGGGAAACGGGUUAAUAUUCCCGUACUUGGUGUUACUGCGAAGGGGGGACGGAGAAGGCUAUGUUGGCCGGGCGACGGUUGUCCCGGUUUAAGCGUGUAGGUGUGUGUUCCAGGUAAAUCCGGUUCACUUUAACACUGAGGCGUGAUGACGAGGCACUACGGUGCUGAAGCAACAAAUGCCCUGCUUCCAGGAAAAGCCUCUAAGCAUCAGGUAACACGAAAUCGUACCCCAAACCGACACAGGUGGUCAGGUAGAGAAUACCAAGGCGCUUGAGAGAACUCGGGUGAAGGAACUAGGCAAAAUGGUGCCGUAACUUCGGGAGAAGGCACGCUGACACGUAGGUGAAGUGAUUUACUCAUGGAGCUGAAGUCAGUCGAAGAUACCAGCUGGCUGCAACUGUUUAUUAAAAACACAGCACUGUGCAAACACGAAAGUGGACGUAUACGGUGUGACGCCUGCCCGGUGCCGGAAGGUUAAUUGAUGGGGUCAGCGCAAGCGAAGCUCCUGAUCGAAGCCCCGGUAAACGGCGGCCGUAACUAUAACGGUCCUAAGGUAGCGAAAUUCCUUGUCGGGUAAGUUCCGACCUGCACGAAUGGCGUAAUGAUGGCCAGGCUGUCUCCACCCGAGACUCAGUGAAAUUGAACUCGCUGUGAAGAUGCAGUGUACCCGCGGCAAGACGGAAAGACCCCGUGAACCUUUACUAUAGCUUGACACUGAACAUUGAGCCUUGAUGUGUAGGAUAGGUGGGAGGCUUUGAAGUGUGGACGCCAGUCUGCAUGGAGCCGACCUUGAAAUACCACCCUUUAAUGUUUGAUGUUCUAACGUGGACCCGUUACCCGGGUUGCGGACAGUGUCUGGUGGGUAGUUUGACUGGGGCGGUCUCCUCCUAAAGAGUAACGGAGGAGCACGAAGGUUGGCUAAUCCUGGUCGGACAUCAGGAGGUUAGUGCAAUGGCAUAAGCCAGCUUGACUGCGAGCGUGACGGCGCGAGCAGGUGCGAAAGCAGGUCAUAGUGAUCCGGUGGUUCUGAAUGGAAGGGCCAUCGCUCAACGGAUAAAAGGUACUCCGGGGAUAACAGGCUGAUACCGCCCAAGAGUUCAUAUCGACGGCGGUGUUUGGCACCUCGAUGUCGGCUCAUCACAUCCUGGGGCUGAAGUAGGUCCCAAGGGUAUGGCUGUUCGCCAUUUAAAGUGGUACGCGAGCUGGGUUUAGAACGUCGUGAGACAGUUCGGUCCCUAUCUGCCGUGGGCGCUGGAGAACUGAGGGGGGCUGCUCCUAGUACGAGAGGACCGGAGUGGACGCAUCACUGGUGUUCGGGUUGUCAUGCCAAUGGCACUGCCCGGUAGCUAAAUGCGGAAGAGAUAAGUGCUGAAAGCAUCUAAGCACGAAACUUGCCCCGA